rnacentral:lncRNA from 1 species
AUGUCUGCUGUGGACAGACCAGGAGCCACGCAGCCUCGGUGGGACAGACCUUCCAGGAAUCCUCUGGGACUCGUGGCUGGAAGCAGGCGUCCCCUCAGCACAUGCACCUGGCUCCCUGACGGCCCCCGCUCCGCUCAGCGCACGCACAGGAGUCCCGUUUAUGUGUCCUUUGUCAGCAAGGCCAUCCUGUGGGACAGAGGACUCUGUCACUACCCUGCUCACGUUCAUCCCACCGAUCGCACCUCACUGUGUCCACGCUUCUUAUCCCACAUGAAGGCUUGUCCAGGAGACUUCAGGCCUCCUUGUUUCCUCAGCUCCACGUUAAGGCCACAGCCUCCACCUCAGGGGACGACGACACACAUCCUCCUGGCACCAAAGACCCAAACGCUGGAGGGGUGCUUCCAUUUCGAUCCAGAGAGAAGAGGUCGUGCAGUUCACAGCGCUCGCGUCAACGUAGGGCGACGCGCUGCUGUCGCUCCUCCCCGUCCUCCGCUCCCUGCGACACCGCCUCCAUCCAGCAGCAGCAGCAGCAGCAGCCCAACGCCUCCCCGCCAGCGCAGCCUCCGCGCCCACUCUGGGCGACAGCAGAGCGGGUCCAGCACGGCGCCACCGUCCCCUCCUGGGCCUCGUCUCCCUUCAGAGGAUAAACACGAGUCACCGGAGAAGGAGCGAGCGCCUCAGCCAGCGGUGGUGUCCAUCGCAGAGUCCGCAGAGCGGGACGGGCCGCUGAACCUUGGGCCGGCUGGACCCGUGCGCUCAGAGACACCGGCCUCUGCUGUGUCACACGGCUCCCUCUCAGACUGGAGUCGCCCUCCCUCCAGCCUUUUCAGUCGGAGCACUGACCUCUCCAGUGGCAGGAGCAGUGUCCUGUCGGCAGGUGUGACGGACACAGACCCUGAAGGCAGCGUUUGCCUCUCUCCCCUCCACCUGUCGUCAGUGAUGGAGCUACCUCUGUCUGCCUCUCCAGCUGGACCCACCCCUCACGGGUCCACAACAAGCACCACCACCCAUCCACCCUAUGAGCCGGACUCACGUCAAACCAAGGCCUUCUCGCCUCGCCCAACUUCAAGCAUCCAGUCACAUUCACAUAAACCCCUGAGCAGCAGCAGAAGCUCAAAACCAGCAGAGAAGCUCCCCCACGAUGCGUCCACAGAUCCCGCUCUCAACCUGUCUCUGCCCUCUGACCAUGGCCUUGUCACACUGACUUUCACCCCCACCACCUGGUCGUCCUGCCCAAGUCCACAAAGGAGCACUCCCCCUUCCCCUCCCCUGAGUGGCCUGGAGUCUCAGCGUUGGCCCGUGCUGCCGCCCAUCUCUCCAGUCAGAGGACGCUGCGGCACAGCAGCAUCACGCUACUCUGAACUAAGCUGCACGCAGUCUCACGUGUUCGAUGAACUGGAGGCCAUCGCUCCCCUGUCCACUUCCUGUCUGUCGCUAGACGAGGCCUCAGACUCAUCGGGCACGUCUUCACCUGACUCAGCGCUGUCUCCGGGCCUGGCGGCGCUGACCGUGGGCUGCGACUCAGGGAACCUGGGUUCACUGUCCCGGGUUCAGCUGCUCCUGCUGGACAGAGCAGAGCCUGAGACCCUGCAGAGCGCCGGCAGCUUUGAGGAGAACUGGGACGAGCUUAGCUGGAGUUCGGCAGGUGUUUUGAGGCCUCGCACAUCUGGCAGCAUCUCUGAAAGGUGCGACUCUGCGGGGAAAGUCCAGGAGGCCAGAUCGGAUGCAUCUGAAGGAGGCUCAUGGUCAUCGUCCUCCUGGAUCAUAGACCCGACUCAUACGUCAGCAUGUUCCCCCUGCCCGUCUCAUCAUGACUCCUGCCUAGAUGACGGAGGUCAUGACGAUGAGUCCGAUCAUCCAGGGUGGAGGGACGACACUGGGAGAAGUGAGGAGCGGGACACAAAGAUGGAGGAGAGGAAGACAAAGGUGAUGCACUUGCUGUCCAAGCUGCAGGACACGACUCCACGGAAGAGAAACAGCCCCAGAGGCCCCUCCGACUUCGAGGACUUUGACUUUUUGGCCAAGUACUGUAUCUUCAGUCAGGAGAAGCUGGCUGAGUACAAACGAGCUUUUGAAGCAGAGGACAGUGAUGGUGACGGCUACAUUUCCUGCCUCCAGGUCUUGCUCGCUCUUAAGAACAUCAUCCCUCCGGAGCUCCUGAGCGAUGAAGAAGAGAUAUACGUCUACAGGAUCCUGGAGAUGGUGGACUUCAGAGUGACAGAUGGACUGGUUGACCUGAGGCUCUUCGCUGUGAUCGCCAGUCUGGCACAGAAGAUCGCCACCAUGGAUGAGUUUAUGCGGUCGCUCAUCAGCAACAUGGACUUUCGCUCUCUGGAAGUGAGGCUCUUCAAAGCCAAGCAACUCUUCCUGUUCCUGCUGGAGGAGCAGCGAGGGGAGGCCGGAGCUCAGCGGGGCUUCAUCAGCGCCGAGCAGCUGCUGCUGGAGCUGAAGGCCGGGGGGAUCCGCCUGGAGCAGGAGGCGGCCGUCCGGCUGGAGCUGCAGCACAUCCCUCCUCUGGACCUGCUGGACUUCCUGGCCUACCUGCCGCUCUUCAUGCUCAUCCACAAGUCGGUCAUCUCCAACCCCCUCAACGACUUCAGUCGCCUCCCGGAUGUGUGAGGCUGGUACCGGCCCGGCUGCCAACACAGUGAUCGGGGUUCUGAUCACAGAACAAUAGGUCUAAUGAAGGUAAAACAGAUGGAUGAGGUGCACGGAGCAUGAGGAAGUGCUGUCUGUGGUCCUGAAAUCCUUCAGCUGUUUAUAAAAAACACUCCCACCUGAAAUAUCAUCAGUAUGUGACUCUGCUCCUCCGCCCGACACAGUCAGCACCAAUGGAUGAUUCUAAUGACAUAUUCAACCUAUUCUAGCCUGAGCCUUUGUUUUGGCUCAGCUUCACCAAUUAGAUAAGGUUGGGCCACGCUUCAUAGACAGAGGGAGUGUAACCGGCACCGACAGGCAGACCAGGAGCGUUGCAUCACAGCGGCUUUGUUUGUCCCUUCCUCAUCUGUAUGUUAUCAGCAUUACAGUCAACUACAACCUUUAAAGGUUCCCUGGCUUUUCAGUAGUGGUUUAAAUUAAUUCUUCAGCUUCAUACAGUUUGUUAUGGGCCUCAAAUGUCUGUUUGCAGCUGGAAAUGAACUGAUCAACAGCUUCUCAGCUUCAGUGAUGGGUGGGGGAAAACCCAGAACCGUCCCUUACGAGAUCUGCAUCCGAGCCCGUGUUAAUCAGUCCUCUCAAAGCGUUGGAUUCUCUUGCUCUUGUUUAAAUUAACUGAAUAAUAAAAUAUAUCCAUCCAAGGAUCUUAAAUCA